AUAAUUAAGGUUAUUGUCUUUUUUUUUUAAAAAAAGAAAUUUUAGGUUGUAUUGUUUUUAGAAAUUUAUAUUUGAGCGAUAGAAACAAGUACCGUGAGGGAAAAAUAGUUUUACUUUAAUUUUUAAAAGUAUUUGAUUAAGUACCUUUUGUAUAAGGGUUAAAUAAAAUUAUUUAAGUUUUUAAAUUUCCCGAAGUUUAUCGAUCUAUUUUAGAUUAGGUGUUAUGUUUCAAAAUAAUUUAAAGUUUAGAAUAGAAAUGAAAUGUUAUUCGAGUUAAAUGAUAUCUGGUUUUGGUGAGUUGACUUUAUGUCAUAUAUGGAGUAUAAUAUAGUAGAAUGCUUUAUAUUAUAAUAUUUAUGGGAUAAGCUGUAAAUAUCUUAAUAAAGAUAGCUUAAUACAAAAGAUGGUUUUGAGUUUACUGAUAUUUGUAAUAAAAUAUUUUUAAGGUUUGUUUUUAUUUAAGGUAAGGUAAUAUUUAAAUUAAUUUUCAUUUAAAGAAAAAAUAUUUGGAUUAGUAAAAGAUGGUUUAUUUAUUAAUAUUUGAAUAUAUUGUGGUAAGAUUUAUAAUACUUAGGAACUCGGCAAAUAAGUUCUUGUCUGUUUACCAAAAACAUUGUAUUUUGAAAUUAUGAAAUAUAUUGCCUGCUCAGUGUUAUAUAUAAAUUGCUGUGGUAUUUUGACUAUACGAAGGUAUUGUAAUAAGGCUUUAAAUGGGUGCUAAGAGAAUGGUGAAACAGGAAUUUUCUUUCUUUUUAUUAUAAAUUGAAGUUAAUUUUUAGAUGAAAAAGUUUAAAUUUAUUUUUGGGACAAGAAGACCCUAUGAAUUUUGAAGAGAUUUUUUGUUGUAAAAUUAUAUAUAAAAUUUUAAUAUGAUUUUUUUCUUUUGAUUGGGGUGAUUUUUAAAGAUUGAUAAUCUUUAAUUUAAUUAAAAAAUGAUCCAUUUAUAAUGAUUUUUUGAAAAAAAUACUCUAGGGAUAACAGCGUUAUAAUUUCGGAUAGUUCAUAUAGAUGAAGUUGAUUGCGACCUCGAUGUUGGAUUAGGAUUCUUGUAUAGUGAAGAAGCUAUAUUAAGGAGUUUGUUCAACUUUUAAUAUCCUUCAUGAUCUGAGUUCAGACCGGCGAGAGCCAGGUUGGUUUCUAUCUAGAUAUAGAAAAGUAUUUUAUUUUAGUACGAAAGGAAUAAAUAAGUAGGUUUAACUUUUUUAGUUUUGAAAAUUUGAUAUUAAUUUAUUU
rnacentral:rRNA from 1 species